GCCCAGACUCCUACGGGAGGCAGCAGUGGGGGAUAUUGCACAAUGGGGGAAACCCUGAUGCAGCGACGCCGCGUGAGUGAAGAAGUAUUUCGGUAUGUAAAGCCCUAUCAGCAGGGAAGAAGAAAUGACGGUACCUGAGUAAGAAGCACCGGCUAAAUACGUGCCAGCAGCCGCGGUAAUACGUAUGGUGCAAGCGUUAUCCGGAUUUACUGGGUGUAAAGGGAGCGCAGGCGGCACGGCAAGCCUGAUGUGAAAGCCCGCGGCCCAACCGCGGGACUGCAUUGGGAACUACCGGGCUGGAGUGCCGGAGAGGUAGGCGGAAUUCGUAGUGUAGCGGUGAAAUGCGUAGAUAUGAGGAGGAACACCAGUGGCGAAGGCGGCCACUGGACGGUGACUGACGCUGAGGCUCGAAAGCGUGGGGAGCAAACAGGAUUAGAUACCCGAGUU
rnacentral:rRNA from 1 species